rnacentral:antisense_RNA from 1 species
CCUAAAGGAGAAACCUGAAUCAUUACAUCUCCUCUCCUCGCUACAAAUGCAGGGCAUGAAUCAGUUCUAGAUUGGAGUUCUGGAUAUGGGUACCAAUGUUGCUGACUGCAAGAGCUUCCAGCCAAUGCCACCUCAGGGGGCAAGCCUACCUCAGGCAUCUCCUCAUCUUCAUCUUCUGAAGACACGUCUUCCUGUGUGCACUGCAGCAAGGAGGGGAAAGAUGGGAUCAGAGCCCCAGUGGCUUGCUAGAAUGCAGCCUCCAACCUACUCCCCUGAGCCCCCAGGUCUGGAAGUUGUGCGCCUGCCUGUAAUACUGCCAGUCUCUCCACCAGCCAGAUCUGAGUGGAAGCAACAGCCCAGGGAAUGGCUUUGCUACCAGCCCAUUAUUUUUCACCUAUGACUGCCAAAGAAUAAAAGAAAAGCAAAAUGGC